rnacentral:tRNA from 1 species
UCCUUGAUAGCUCAACGGUAGAGCAAUCGGCUGUUAACCGAUUGGUUGUAGGUUCGAAUCCUACCCAAGGAG